rnacentral:ribozyme from 12 species
AAGAAAUAAUAAUAAUAAAAAAAAAACACAAGUUAAGCGAUGGGUUUGACAACCCUCCCUCUUGCAUACCGGAAUCUUCUUCUUUUUUUUUGUUUUUUUGUUUGUUUGUUUUUGUUGU